UGAUGGAUUUCAAAGCUGUAAC
rnacentral:siRNA from 1 species